UACGAAGGGGGCUGGCGUUGUUCGGAUUUACUGGGCGUAAAGCGCACGUAGGCGGAUCGUUAAGUCAGGGGUGAAAUCCUGGAGCUCAACUCCAGAACUGCCUUUGAUACUGGCGAUCUUGAGUCCGGAAGAGGUGAGUGGAACUCCUAGUGUAGAGGUGGAAUUCGUAGAUAUUAGGAAGAACACCAGUGGCGAAGGCGGCUCACUGGUCCGGUACUGACGCUGAGGUGCGAAAGCGUGGGGAGCAAACAGG
rnacentral:rRNA from 1 species